rnacentral:rRNA from 1 species
AACGAACGCUGGCGGCGUGCCUAAGACAUGCAAGUCGUGCGGAAAGGCUCCUUCGGGAGUACUCGAGCGGCGCACGGGUGAGUAACACGUGGGUAAUCUACCUGAGGGUCUGGGAUAACUCCGGGAAACUGGGGCUAAUACCGGAUGAGACCACAGCGUCUUUGGACGCAGCGGUCAAAGAUGGCCUCUCCUUGGAAGCUAUCGCCUACAGAUGAGCCCGCGUCCCAUAGCUAGUUGGCGGGGUAACGGCCCACCAAGGCGACGAUGGGUAGCUGGUCUGAGAGGAUGAUCAGCCACACUGGAACUGAGACACGGUCCAGACUCCUACGGGAGGCAGCAGUCGGGAAUUUUGGGCAAUGGGCGAAAGCCUGACCCAGCAACGCCGCGUGAGGGAUGAAGGCC